rnacentral:rRNA from 1 species
GACGAACUGUCCUAACGUUGUUCGGAAUCACUGGGCUUAAAGGGCGCGUAGGCGGUCCGACAAGUCGGGGGUGAAAUCCUGCAGCUUAACUGCAGAAGUGCCUUCGAUACUGUCGGUCUUGAGGGAGAUAGGGGUGUGCGGAACUUCCAGUGGAGCGGUGAAAUGCGUUGAUAUUGGAAGGAACGCCGGAGGCGAAAGCGGCGCACUGGAUCUCUUCUGACGCUGAGGCGCGAAAGCUAGGGGAGCAAACGGG